UCGUGGGUCUUGAGGAGACGCUCUAGAGGAGUAGGGACGCCGCCGCCGCUGCCGCUCGAUUCGAGCUUGAGAGGUUGGGACGCUGCCGUCUUCCUGCUGCUUUAAUCCAGGCUCAACUGCCCGUGGCCCGUGGGGCCGCCGCCGCUGCUUCAGGGCCUUUCACGUGUUAUGUGUUGUGUGGGCAUAGCAUGGAUCAUGGAAAAGGGGUUUCACCGCUGUGGCGGUCGAGCUUGGGAAGGACGUUGCCUCCCAGCGUGGAGGAAGAUGUGGGUGGGUGGAGGAUUGGGGGCUUGAGUGCUCUGGAACGGCGCCUCCUCUCUCUGGAACGACAUCAGUGGACGAAGCAUCCUCAACGGCGGUGGGGAAUCAAAUUCCCACUUUGGAAUGACGGUGCCGGACUAACGCAUCCUCGACGGCGAGGAAUCAGAGCACGUCAUCAAGAGAUGAAGGACAAAGGCACGUUGGCUCGCAAGGUGCUGGUUUGUCCUAGAUACUAUCACCUAAAAUAAGAAUGUAAUUAUGUGAGUCCCCACUAGCAUUGGAUCAUGAAUUCUUGAUUAUUGGCAACCAAUGAUUGCUGCCUGCUAUUGUUUUAAUAUUGCCGUAUAAGUAUUUUUCUAACUUGCAAGUUCCUCAAUAUCUGUUGAUUGUCUACUAAACAAAACUGAAUGCCCACUCACAAACUUGUUUUACUUUUUGGCUAGAUGAUACAUGCUCACUUUAAUUUUUCUCCUACAAUUUCAGGAAGGUGGGCUAGGUUUUUUUGUAGAGCAAGCACAUCUAGGGACCUCCUUUGCUUGAUGUUGCUUUGUUAAUAGGACAUCUCACACCUGUGCUGAUGGACAAAGUAAUACUGAUAUAUAACCAUGCUUAUGCCUACUAUUUAUGUCCUCUGCUUUGUCUUGAUUCUUUUAUACAAUUGGUUAAUAUGUGUAUGACACACACACUCAUUAGGUGCUAAUCUUCUCACGUUAAUUAUUUCUAGAUACUGGAUUUUGUGUGUUGGAAAAACUGAACUUUGAUGAAGUGGUUGAUUCUGUUAGAAAAUGUGGCUGAGAGACGAUACUGCAUUAUCUCUAUCUUAUUUGGACUAAUUUUCUAAAGCUAUUAUCUUCUGUUGUGGCUCGUGCUUUUUUGGCUUGUACAUCAAUUAUUUCUUGGUCAAGGUAUGCAUAGAAUUUUUUGGAUACACCAUUCUCUAGACUGCCUAAGAGCAGUACAAGCUUACCACACUAUUAGACUAGAGUAUUUGACACUCCCAUGAUUCAGAAUGUGUAUGUUUUAUUAAUACAACCUGAUUGUAUGCCAUUUCCUAAUUUUCUGUGUAUGUAUAGAUAAAUCUUCUCCAGUUUGCAAUUUCCUAAUUUUAGCAUGUACUAAUCUUCUAUGUAAACCAAAAUGAUACUCACGGCUCUACUCACCUCCUCCUGUUUGCAAAUUUUGUAGUUGUAUACUUUUACCAGAAAUGAAUGAUACAAAAAUUGUAUCUUCUCUGAUAAGCAAUAUAAUAGUUUAUAUCUUUCAUUUUGGAUGCAAGAUUUUGAUGAACUUAUUGAUUGUGAGGGAGGUGACUACAAAACUUCAGGACCAACAUAGGAUUUCUAAAUUUGGUACAACUAAAGAUGAAAGGAUUACUAAAACUGGGUACAUCUAAAGCCACUUCAGCCGUACUACUUGUUUUAUGAAAAAUAAUGAUAUAUGUGCAAACAUCCAUCCUGUACAUGAUGGCAAUCCUCUUUGUGAGUUUGUUUGCAAUGAGUUUUCUGGUUUACCAAUCAUGUGAUUACCAAAUGGUCCAUGAGACCUGAGUUCUAUUUUUGUCGGCAAAUUGUUAGUUGUGGAGCAAUUUCAUUUACCAAGCUAUUGUAACGUGGUGGAAACUAAAGUUUGUGUAAACGUUAUAUUUAUCAGUGAAAAUCUACAAACUCUUCUUCAACUUCAAGGCCUCAUGUUGCCUCUCUCUGUUUGUUGGUUAUGUCUGAUAUUUCCUAUACCGAUUCAUCCGGGAGGUUUAGCAUUAGCUCUGUUACUGUUCUUUUAUUGAUAGAUGCAGCGCUGCCCCUACCAUCUGUGUUGUUUGAUGCACACAAAUAAGCACCGUAACUAUGAUGCAAGAUUUUACACUUGGGACUAGCUGAGAAUUUAUAGUUUUAAUCUUUAUACAUGAUAUAGUAAUAUAAGUUGGUUUUACUGAUUUUAUUGUUUGCUUCACAGUUACACAGAGCUACAUAAAGCCUUUUGUGUGCAACGAUCAUGAGAAGAAAUUUAUUUGGCAACAUAAUAAGUAGGAGGGAACAAAUAAUCCUGAUGUGCAACUGUUUUAUUACCUAUGCAACCUGUAGCCAGUAGCAAUAUCCUGGAUAAUAUCUACUUCCGACUAAUAAAAACAUCUUAUAUUUUUGUACAGAGGGAGUACAUAAUUAGUACUGUUUGUUUUAAUUUUCUAUUGGUUGCAGUUGUGCUUGAUGUCUUGCGGGUUGACCAGACAAGUAUUGACAUCUGGAGAUCAUCUUCAGUGCCGGACUGAUCUCAUGUGCUGUCAAGAGCUGCCGCUGGUGCCAAUCAAUUUAGCAGUCCUCCUAAGGACAAAUCAUGAUUUUACUGGCUGAAUACCACUAUUCUAGAAUGUUGAGUCGGUUAUUCAUAUAAAGAGAGAAAAAUGAAUGAGUGUUGCUGCUGUUUAUCUUGGAUCAUGAUUGCACCAGAGAAGCACAACAUUUGUUUGGACAUAUUGACAUGACGACAAUAUCAAGCUCUUUGUUUGGGCAUCACACAUAUAUGUGCUUCCUCCAUCUUCACAGCA